rnacentral:lncRNA from 1 species
AAACCACGAAGAAGACGAAAACGAAAGUAAUGUUAAGCUGCAGAAGUAAACAAAGAAGCUACUAUUGCAAAUGAAGAUGUCAGAAUGACCAAAGGAGACAGAUCAAAUCGCUUCAAAAGUCAAACACGCAGCAGUUUAAUGGCACGGAAUAUUUUACCAGACACUGGACUUUUGUUUGGAUUCUUGCGACGUGACAAACAACUAUCGUAAAAGACAAAAAAAGUGCUUCAGAUACUUCUCAGUUCUCUUUUUAGUGCACAAGACUGUCAAACUGAACGACUGAGACUGAUUUUUACAAACCAGUGUUGAGCUGUUCAGCUGCAGUAUGACAGAGGAGCGAGGAAAGGACUCUCCGUCUGAGAUGAGUCUCUCACAGACACAGAGUGUAAGAUCAGGUUCACAUGUGUCCAGCUCUGUGUCUGUGAAGAGUGACCGUUCAAAAGGUGACAUGCCGAACCUCAGUGAGAAAAAACCAUCAUCUACCAAAAGUGUGAGAUCAGGUUCACAUGUGUCCAGCUCUGUGUCUGUGAAGAGUGACCGUUCAAAAGGUGACAUGCCGAACUUCAGUGAGAAAAAAAUGUCAACUACAAAAAGUGUAAGAUCAAGCUCACAUGUGUCCAGCUCUGUGUCUGUGAAGAGUGAGCGUUCAAAAGGGGACAUGCCAAACUUCAGUGAGAAAAAAACAUCAACCAAAAGGUAUUUCAUGUGUUGUAUAUUAUAACAUUGCAUUAUUUCUGUCUGAUAACCUUUAUUGAACCUGGUUUGGAGCUUAUUUCAAGUAAUAGAAUUAAACAGUAGCUACUCAGGGGCAAAAAAUUCACCAUGGAAAAUAGAUAAUUCAACCGAACAUUACCUCCAUCCGUCCAUCCAUCCAUAGUGACGAAGGACAAAUAAAGGACUGCAUUUAAUGACCAUUUGCUACAUUAGAAUUUUCAAAUGAGACUUGCGUAUCUUGUAUCUUCUGU